rfam:Actinobacteria bacterium OV320 ctg32, whole genome shotgun sequence.
GCCGGUCCUCGGUAGUGGCCCCCGGGAAAGAGAACCCCGGGUGCUUCGAUCGAAGACCGGC